rnacentral:lncRNA from 1 species
CUGAGCCAGAGGAGAGUCUCAGCUCUAUUCAUGCCUCCUCGUCAAGGAUGAGUUGGUGCCUCUGCUAGCUGAUCUCAGUUACUCCCAGGCAGGAAGUGCCCUCUGGUGUCUGUCAGGUCUUCAGCCUGGGAAAGGAUGACAGAAAUUGACAAGCAGAUGGAAUCUCGUGUAGCCCAGGAGGUUCAUUAUCAUCAUGACAGGGAGAGUGGCAGCAGGCAGCCAUGGUGGAGGAAAAGUAGGCUUUCAUCCCAGGACUCCGGAGGCAGAGAGGAUCAACAGCAUAAGGCCAGGCUGUGCUGCCCAGGGAGAGUCUGUCCUAAGAAAGACUGAAAUCCCCACAAUCCUCUGCAGUACUCCUGUUUGCCCCAAGCAACUUUCCACGCAUGGGGCUGGCAAGCUUGGUAAGCUGCAUGUUGCUCUUCACACUCGCACUGCUGCAUAUGUGCACAUACACUAACAAUAACUACUUUUUAAAGGGCGUGUGAGAUGACUUUCUGGGUAAAAGGUACUUGCAAUCAAGCCAGAUGACCUGAGUUUGAACUCCCACAGAUUGUGUCCUCCGACCUCUACAGGUGAG